rnacentral:rRNA from 1 species
GUAACAAGGUUUCCGUAGGUGAACCUGCGGAAGGAUCAUUAUUGAAU